AUCGCUAUAGCUCAGUUUGGUAGAGCACUUGAUUUGGUAUCAAGCUGUCGCCGGUUCGACUCCGGCUAGUG
rnacentral:tRNA from 1 species